rnacentral:rRNA from 1 species
AACGAACGCUGGCGGCAUGCCUAACACAUGCAAGUCGAACGAGACCUUCGGGUCUAGUGGCGCACGGGUGCGUAACGCGUGGGAACCUGCCCUUAGGUUCGGAAUAACUCCCCGAAAGGGGUGCUAAUACCGGAUAAUGUCUUCGGACCAAAGAUUUAUCGCCUUUGGAUGGGCCCGCGUUGGAUUAGCUAGUUGGUAGGGUAAAAGCCUACCAAGGCGACGAUCCAUAGUGGGUCUGAGAGGAUGACCAGCCACACUGGGACUGAGACACGGCCCAGACCCUACGGGGGGGGGGAGGUGGGGAUAUUGGGAAAGGGGGGCAAGGCUGAUCCAGCCAUGGCCGGGUAGGGAAGAAGGGCUUAGGGUUGUAAAAGUUUUUUUCCCGGGAAGAUAAAUACGAGAACCGGAGAAAAAGCCCCGGGUAACUUCGUG